rnacentral:rRNA from 1 species
ACUCCACGGGAGGCAGCAGUGGGGAAUUUUGCGCAAUGGACGAAAGUCUGACGCACAACGCCGCGUGGGUGAUGAAGGUCUUCGGACUGUAAAACCCUGUCGUCAGGGACAAGGUGUGCAUGUUAAUAGCGUGUACGCUUGACGGUACCUGGAGAGGAAGCCCCGGCUAACUCUGUGCCAGCGCCGCGGUAAUACAGAGGGGGCAAGCGUUAUUCGGAAUUAUUGGGCGUAAAGGGCGCGUAGGCGGUUUUUUAAGUCAGAUGUGCAAUCCCCGAGCUCAACUUGGGAACUGCAUCUGAGACUGGAAGGCUAGAGUACUGGAGAGGGUGGUGGAAUUCCUCGUGUAGCGGUGAAAUGCGUAGAGAUGAGGAGGAACACCGUGGCGAAGGCGGCCACCUGGACAGUAACUGACGCUGAGGCGCGAAAGUGUGGGUAGCAAACAGGAUUAGAUACCCUGGUAGUCCACGCCCUAAACGAUGUCAACUAGGUGUUGGGUGGGUAAAACCAUUUAGUACCGGAGCUAACGCGUGAAGUUGGCCGCCUGGGGAGUACGGCCGCAAGGUUAAAACUCAAAUGAAUUGACGGA